rfam:Myotis lucifugus cont2.18957, whole genome shotgun sequence.
AAUCAGAGAGGAGGGUCCCUCAGCCCAGAUUGUAAGAGGGUGCAGUCCUGGCUGAGGGACCCCACUGGUGCAUG